rnacentral:lncRNA from 7 species
AAAUGCAGGGACCGAGGGGAAGGCAGGGCUCGGGGUGCUGCCCCGCUCUCUGGCCCCACCGCGCAGCGCAGCUCUGCCCCACUCCCAUCUGGUUGCAGCUCAGGGGAACGAACUCUGAGUGCCACCGGACCCCAUGCCGAUAUGGGGACCCCCGUGACCCCACGCCCCGGGGAACGGCUCCCAGGCCGGGAAACCUCUUUGCGCCCCCAUCUGAACCAGCGGAGAAACAACAAGAUUAAAAAGAAGCCGUUCCGACAGCUCAGAACCAGGAGCAGCAGCGACUCAAGCCUCACCCAGGUACAUUCUGGAGCAGCAGAACGCCCGGCCGGGUGGCCUUGGGGACAGCAUCUCAGCUGUGUCAGGAGCUUCCCAGGCCCAUCCUUGGGCAGUCACACUUACCACCACAUCCAACGAAGCCACGGAGGACUUCACGACCACACAUUGCUAUCAGCCCUUCGUGUUGGAAGUGAAAACACACAGAAACAAAACAACCGCUCCAGAAUGCGGUGGCAGUCCAUACAACCUGUGCCUAAGUCCACCACGGAAGGGAAGCACGCCUGCUCACAGUAAUUACUGUAUGAGGGCCUUCCAACAGGCAGCAGUUGCUGCAGGAAGGAGCUGCAGGCUGUGCUGGGGGGCACCGCCUCCACCACGAGGCAGAGCAGAGGCUAAAAAUAAAGAGAUAGAAUUUGAUCCAUGC